AUGGUUUACGGCGGAGAGGAGGCGCUGAGGCGGCAGUACUCCAUCGGCGACGAGAUCGGGCACGGCCGCUUCGGCACGGUCCGCCGCUGCCACUCCAACGCCACGGGGGAGGCGCUGGCGUUGAAGACCACACCCAAGGCGCCGCUGCGGGACGCGCUCGACCUGGCCCUCGCGGAGCAGGAGCCCAAGCUGCACCUCCUCGCCUCCUCCCCGCCCUGCAGCCCGCACCUGGUCGCGCUCCACGCGGCCUUCGACGACGCCGACGCCGUCCACCUCGUCGUCGACCUCUGCACCGGCGGGGACCUCCUCUCCCUCCUCUCCGCCCGCGGCGGCCGCCUCCCCGAGCGCGAGGCGGCCGGGCUGGCCGUGCAGCUGGCGUCCGCGCUCGCCGCCUGCCACCGCCGCGGGGUCGCGCACCGCGACGUCAAGCCCGACAACCUCCUCUUCGACGCCGCCACGGGCGCGCUCAAGCUCGCCGACUUCGGCUCCGCGGAGUGGUUCGGGGACGGGCGCCGCAUGUCCGGGAUCGUCGGCACGCCCUACUAUGUCGCCCCCGAGGUGGUGGCCGGCAGGGAGUACGGCGAGAAGGUGGACGUGUGGAGCGCCGGGGUGGUGCUCUACAUGAUGCUCUCGGGGGCCGUGCCCUUCUACGGCGCCGGCGCCCCGGAGAUCUUCGAGGCCGUGCUCCGCGGCAACGUCCGCUUCCCGCCGCGCGCCUUCGCCGGCGUCUCCCCCGAGGCCAAGGACCUGAUGCGCCGCAUGCUCUGCAAGGACGUCUCCCGCAGGUUCUCCGCCGAACAAGUCCUGAGGCAUCCGUGGAUCGCGAGCUGCGGCGGGGAUGCGGUGGCGGGCUGA
rnacentral:rRNA from 1 species